CUUUAAUUGUCGUGCUGUACAUUGUGCCAUGGGCGUCUUGGUAGGUCCGUCGCAGAUCGAGAUGGAGAUCGGAUUGGAGAGUGGAGUCGAGGAAGCUGGACCAUCGAGCAUCAGAAAUGCUUGCAAUUGAACUUCAAAUCCGAUUUGGCGGCUGCCUGUGUCAAUGAUAUGGGAGAGCUGACCGCACGCCGGACGCGAACGUGAUCAUCAUCGUUCAGUAGACUCUGCGAACUCCGCUGGCCUUGCUGCAUUGUUGGUUUGACAAAUUUGUAGCAACUAGCAGCUAGCAGUCGAGUUUUCCACUUUGCUUGUGACCACCGGAUGCGGCUAUCAUUCGAAUUACUUCUGUGGUCGUUUGGGACACAGAUGUUUACCUUUCGUUUUAGCACUUUUCACGUUGAACUUGUACGUAUACGCAAUAAUUUCCAUAUGACUCGCCCGUUAUCAAUUAUGAGCGCUAAUCUGCUUUACUUUCGAUUUCAAUUCGCAGCACGACGAACAAAGUUUUAAUAAACGUGUGAAUCUGCCCCCACGGGCAGCCUUUAUUUGCUCAGUCGUAAAGCUCUUCACUGGAACCAAAAACCGGGGACCUUGUCAAAUAAUCAGCUCUACGAGAGGAGAACUGCCUGAGUAACGACUCCGACUAUUGGCAUGAAUUAUGUGGAAUUGCACCAAUUUGGCAAUUAAACAUGUGUAGUGCCCGAGUGGGUGGAAAGCAGGGGGUUUUUAAGCCAAACAGAGACAGGGAGAGAGAGAGAGAGAGAGAGACAGAGAAGAUUCAGUGAGCAUAAAUGGCAGAUACAAAUGUUUGUAGCCGCUAUAGAGGCUCACCGACCUUCAAUGGAAUCACAGCCCGAGAUGAUGAUGAUGACACACCUAUGUACAUACGUAUUUUGGUGUGUAAAUUCUGCUGUGGGUCCCACACCUUCUCACUGUUCUUUUUGCCAUGACUGGAGUGAACCCCUUUGACAUCGCGGCUAAUUGCACAAACGAGCAGAUCAGGGCAGCUGAGAAUCGAAUUCCAAGUUCGUGAUAUGUAAGAAUUAUAAGUCAAAGAAUGUCGAUCACGGGUACCCAGAACUCCCACACCGACUUCAAAUUAAUUUUUGGCGGCUCCACAAUGAAUUAU
ensembl:ncRNA lncRNA:CR45193 long non-coding RNA:CR45193